AUCAUGAGCCACUGAUGCGUCAUCAUCUGUGCAAGAGAAAGGGAAGGAUGGCAACUCAUGGAGGGGGAUAUGGGUGGGACUGAGUAAAACUCACAGCCUGCCCUGCAGGUGUGCCUAGACCCCUAACACAUCUUGAGUGCCAUGGGAGCGGGUCCCUCAUGCAAAUGUCUUUUGUUAAAUGUGCACCUUUAGAACAAAGGUUGAGGCCCAGAGCCCAGACGGCUUGAGGUCGUGUUGACCCAGAUGUUUCUGUCCAGCUUGGAAUAGUGACACCACAAGUGGGAAUCUCUUAAAGGCCCCUGAUGAUGAUAGCAACAAUGAAGAUGACAAUAAAGGAGGUGAUGAUGAUGAUGAUAAUGUGCCUUUGUUCUCCAGUAAUUCCCAAUUUCCUCUAUUUCAUCUUUUCUUAGCCUAGACCCAGAAGAGCUAGAAAGUGGACCAAAAGCCUCCUUCCUCCCAGGAAGCACAAUGAAAGCUAAGAGGCAAAGAAAUGAAAAGAAUGAGAAUGCUCUACAGACAUCACAUCAGAAAGAAAACACUCGCAUGGGCCAGUAUGGAGUGGACAGAGGAACAGGAGUGACAGAGUUCAGGGGCAGAGGAAGAAGACACGGACCAGAUGAGGUGAGAAACAGCCUCCUCUGUCAGCAGGGCCCUGGCAGGGUGCUCAUUACCGUUGACUUCUCACCACCCUUCCCGCACACUAGACGAUCAGUCGAGGCUGGCUGUGGUAAUUCCAUUCG
rnacentral:lncRNA from 1 species